AACGAACGCUGGCGGCAGGCCUAACACAUGCAAGUCGAGCGCGCCCUUCGGGGUGAGCGGCGACCGGGUGAUUAACGCGUGGGAACGUGCCUUUUUUUCGGGAUUAGCCUCGGGAAACUGAGAGUAAUACCUUAUACGCCCUUUGGGGGAAAGAUUUAUCGGAAAAGGAUCGGCCCGCGUUGGAUUAGGUAGUUGGUGGGGUAAUGGCCUACCAAGCCGACGAUCCAUAGCUGGUUUGAGAGGAUGAUCAGCCACACUGGGACUGAGACACGGCCCAGACUCCUACGGGAGGCAGCAGUGGGGAAUCUUAGACAAUGGGGGCAACCCUGAUCUAGCCAUGCCGCGUGAGUGAUGAAGGCCUUAGGGUUGUAAAGCUCUUUCAGCUGGGAAGAUAAUGACGGUACCAGCAGAAGAAGCCCCGGCUAACUCCGUG
rnacentral:rRNA from 1 species